UUUUUUUUUUUUUUGUCAUGGCCGAAAUUAGAGAGGAGAGAAAAUUUCUCCAAGUUCCAUCUUGAUUUCUAACUGGAUUUUGUGGGGAAAUCAACCUUAAAUCCUAAAUCCAUCCAUAGAAGGUUGCAACAAGGAAGGAAGAAGUUUGGUGUGCUGUGAUUUUGAGGGAAGAAAGCUGUGAUUUGCUACUCACCUUAGGAAUUGAAAGUAAUCUUGGUAAGGAACUACUUUUUCCCUUUAAUCUUACAUUUAAGUGGGCAUAUGACUUGAAUAUAGAAAUAUUGUGGCUGAUUUCAUGGAUUUGUGUUGUUAUUGGAAUUUUUCAACAUUUAGUUAUAUUGUCCAGCCAUGAAUUAGGAGUUUUUAGUAUUGAUUUGGAUAUGAAAGUUGAGAUAUGAAGAUUUCUAGCUUUGGUAUGAAACUUUAGCUUCAAAAUAGGACUUUCUAACUUUAGUUGUGAAAUUUCAGCCUUGGUAGAAAAUUUUUCAACUUAGGUAUAUGUUGAUUAUAGCUAGUUUGUGGCUAAAAUAAGUAGUCUAUAUAUCCUAUACCUUGUGAACUUGAUUUGGGACUGUCUUGUGGUGAAAAUAAAGCUUUGAAAAUGGCUGAAAAUUAGGGAAAAUAAGGGGAAGUGCUGCUGAAAAUAUUUUCGCAGGAGACCUUGAUCAGUUUUGGGAAAUCUGUUAUAUUUUGGUGUAGAAAAAUUCAAAUUGAGUUCUCUUUGUUGCAUUUGAAAUUAGACUCAUAGCUCUUUUAACCGUGAAAAUUUUAAAAUUUUUCUCAAUUCCUAUGAAUAUCUGUGAUUUUCCAAAAUUGAUUGAAUUUCUAUUUCUAUUCUAACUUUCUACUGGAUAAAGCAACCGAUUGGGUUUGGAUUUUGACUGCUUUUUGGAUAGAAUCUUGCAAAGAUGUCUUUUGAGAAAUUGUAAUUCUUUGAAUCUAUUUUUCAACGGUAUAAAGUUUAUAAAUUUUGGACUUAAGAAACUUGAGAUAUGAUUUUCAAAAUUUUUUUCAAUUCCUAUGAAUAUCUGUGAUUUUCCAAAAUUGACUGAAUUUCUAUUCCUGUUCUGACUUUCUACUGGAUAAAGCAGCCAUUUGGGUUUGGAUUUUGACUAUUUUUUGGAUAGAAUCUUGCAAAGAUGUUUUUUGAGAAAUUAUAAUUCUUUGAAUCUUUUUUUUAACGGUAUAAAGUUUAUAAAUUUUGGAUUUAAGAAGGUUGAAAUAUGAUUUUUCAAAUAGCGUUGCGCAAAAUUGGGAAAAAAUCUGUUUUCUUAAAACUGUCCUUAUUUUCACUUCCAAUUUUAAGUUAGAGUUGUUGAACCAUUUUAAGCUUGAUUUUUCUUUUGGAAUAAUGUGACUUGGUAUAAUGGAUCUCAUGGCACUUUAUAAAUGUGAUUUUAGGACGUAGAGCUGAGGUCGAAAAUGCACAUGAGGCGAACAAUUGAACUUGUACCGUGGUGAGUGUUCCUUACAUGUGUGUGCUUUAAAUGACUAUGUGAAAUAUUGUGAAUGUUGCCAGAAUAUUAAAUGCUUUCUAAUGAUUGCUAAAUGGAUUUUCGAUGGACGAGUGUGUAUUUCAUCGCACUCGAUUCAAGCCAAAGUGAAUUUUUAAUGAUUGAAUGCUACUUGUGCAUGAAUGUAUGCCUUUUGGCUGAAUUGGGUCCUUGCCCUUCGUUGCCAGUCAACUUGAGCCAGAAGCACAUUCGCUCGGGCGGCUGGUGACCCUGAGAUAAUGUUUGGUAUACUCGAGUAUUGCCAUGAAGUCUGGUGGAGAACUAGCUAGUGGAUUCAAUGCAAUAAAAUCAAUGAAUGAGUGACAAUGAAUACUGAAGGAGUUUUCAUUGUUAAAUGUUUUGAAAUGACGGAGGAAUAAGGGAAAUGGUUGGCGACUGAAUGACUGAAUGAAUGGCUCCAAGUGAGCACGUAUCCUUCCAAUGAAUGAAUGUUUAUUUCUUGAAUGACUGUUUAUUAUUGACCAAAGUGUUCAAACUGUUAAAUACUAUACUUCCAUGGUUUCUCUACCUGAUUGCUUCUUUGGGAAUCUCACUGGGAUUUUAACUCAUUCCUUUAAUUUUUAUUUUUCUUACAGGAAUGGAAGUCUGGAGCAAUUAAGUGUGACCUAGAGUGUAUAAUCCUCUUGUACUUGUACUCUUGGUUGAUAGGAUAUAUUUUGACAUUUGACAUUGUAUCAUUCAUUUGGCUUUUGGGUUGUAAAUAAGUUUGCAUUUUGGUUGAAUUGUAGAACUUAAAUGUUAUUUUGGAAACUGGAAUGAUUAAUCUUGAGAGUUGAUUGAGUGAGUGAGUGAGUCCCUGAAGAGAGUUGGGCAGACGGUCCGCCAAACCCUUGGGUACGCCCUAGGAGGAAGGUGGGGUCGUCAUAGCACCUUAUUUAAUUAUUUACAAACUUGUACUUUUUGUUUGGAAUAAAGGUUUCAUUGUCCUUCCG
rnacentral:lncRNA from 1 species